GCUGCCUUCAUGCCAUUGGAACAAAUUGUUCUCAUCUGUCCAUUCCACCUGGGGAAGUCUUCAUAUGCUUGGAUUAGACACCCUCCUAAUUCACUGAAAGGAACAUGGAUUUAGUGCUGGAUGGAACCCUAAAGGUCCCCAAUCUGACCUCUUCAUUUUGUUGAUAAGAAAAGUUUGGCCCAGAGUGCUUCAGUGAUGUAGCCAAAGUUCCACAGGGUUCUGAGUAUUCGCCGAUAGACUCCAGAGGGGUUGAAUGGGGCUCUAACUCUUCAUCUAACACUGCUGAGCCCCUGCCCAGAGUGGGUCCCAGAGAGCCUUCCCAGCCCAUCCCAGGACUGCCUCCUCCCUUCUCCCUCCCACACCC